GUAGUCGUGGCCGAGUGGUUAAGGCGAUAAACUAGAAAUCCAUUGGGGUCUCCCCGCACAGGUCCUCCCCGCAUCCUGUCGACUGCG
rnacentral:tRNA from 1 species